rnacentral:rRNA from 1 species
AUUGAACGCUGGCGGAAUGCUUUACACAUGCAAGUCGAGCGGCAGCACGGGGGCAACCCUGGUGGCGAGCGGCGAACGGGUGAGUAAUACAUCGGAACAUGCCCAGUCGUGGGGGAUAACACUUCGAAAGAAGUGCUAAUACCGCAUACGUCCUGAGGGAGAAAGCGGGGGAUCGCAAGACCUCGCGCGAUUGGAGUGGCCGAUGUCAGAUUAGCUAGUUGGUGGGGUAAAGGCCUACCAAGGCAACGAUCUGUAGCUGGUCUGAGAGGAUGAUCAGCCACACUGGGACUGAGACACGGCCCAGACUCCUACGGGAGGCAGCAGUGGGGAAUUUUGGACAAUGGGGGCAACCCUGAUCCAGCCAUUCCGCGUGAGUGAAGAAGGCC